AUGAAAGAAUCAUUAAAACUUAAUUCGACGCGACAUCUCAACCUUUGUUCUUCCUUCCGCAAAAGCUCUGCCGUGCUUUAUUCCAGACUCGUCUCCGUUUCCCCUCGCCUCGGAUCCAACAUAUCCAUUCAAACUCCGAUGCCAAGAUAUCGUUCUCCUUUAAGCUUCAACAACGACGAUUCUUCUUCUCCAUCUUCCGUUCGACCUUCGGCUUUCUCUAAACUCUACUCGAAUUCAAUCUUUGUCUCCGCUUCUACUCGACCGGAGAAAGUUCGGCGCCUGAUUCACGCUGUCAAUGAGAAGAGAAUUACGACGUUAAAUCCAGGGCUUUAA